CCCGGCGACCGGCGCACGGGUGAGUAACACGUAUGGAACCUGCCCGCAGCAGGGGGAUAAGCGGAAGAAAUUCCGUCUAAUACCGCGUAACACCGCAGAGGGGCAUCCCUCGGCGGUUAAAGAUUCAUCGGCUGCGGAUGGCCAUGCGGCGCAUUAGCUAGUCGGUGGGGUAACGGCCCACCGAGGCGACGAUGCGUAGGGGUUCUGAGAGGAAGGUCCCCCACACUGGUACUGAGACACGGACCAGACUCCUACGGAAGGCAGCAG
rnacentral:rRNA from 1 species